UCCAUUAGGCAGUGGGAGGUGAGAAGGGAGGAAGCAUUAUUUAUUUGAUUUAUAUUCCCGACGCCAAAGGGACCACCAUUUCCUCUGUUUCCCCCCGAACUGGAUUCACUUCUCUGAUUUCACCUGAUAUUUCAUAUUUUUUUUUCUUCAGCCUUAAUUUGGGAGCCACUGACUGCUGGUUGUUUGGCUCCUGUGUCAGUAAUUUUGGGCUUCAAGUUUAAAAAAAUCUGAAAGUGUGGAUUAAACAAGAUGGAUAUGUAGUUUUCUCUCAAACAACCUAAAGUUGGAAACUUGGUAGUCCAGAGCCGGUCUGCAGCACCACAACGCCAAGGAUGGUGCUUAUUCCUUGGCCUGCACUUUUCCUCUCAGAACCGCCUCACGUCAGGGUUUCUGCAACUCCAGCCUUCACAUCUACCACACAGGGGGAAGAAAUCGAGACCCAGAGAAGUGAAGAAACUUGCCCAAGUAGCUGAGGCAGAACUGAAACUGGAUCACAUAUUUCUCCAUUCCUGACUGCCACCUUGCAGAAGAAUCUAUGGAUCUUCAUUUUGCUUCUUAGCAAGAAGGAUAAACUUUGCUUCAGAGAGAGUCAUGCAAGCCCCUUUUGCUGGGAUGUGGCCCAGGGAGAGAGGGAUGGAAUGAAUAUGGGGUUCUAGAAUAUCAAUACUGUGCAAGAAUCGGUAUUUCCUAGACAAGCCUGACUUGUGAAAAUAAGAUAUACUCACUGGCAAGAGAAGUGUAAUUGCUUGACUAUAGAUUACCUAAUGUAGUUUGGAUCUUAUCAUUGGAAAGUCUGAACAAAUCUGAGUUCUCCUGCACUGCUUCCUCACAUCUUUAAUUGUUGUGGCCUAGAGCAAUCACUGCUUUCUUUCAAGGAGCUCUUGCCACUGUGCUGACAUUGAGUGUCUCUGUGUGAAGAUUUGUGCCUUUCUGGUGUUGUUUUCAUCUUAUAAAUUAAAAAGGAGGCAAAAAUAGAUCCUGCCAAAGGUCACACCACCUCAGUAUUAGGACCAGUCUCUUCAUUUACAAAAAGGGAUGCUCAGCCUAGGAGGGAUGGACCAGGUAGCCCUGGUUCUCUUCUAGCUGCUGGUCCUCUCUGGUGCCUGUCAGUCUGCCAGAGCCAGUGCCACAACUCUCUUAGUGCCCAUCAUUAUCUUGGUUUGCAAGGAGGCCCUUCUGGGUUUGGAGAGGGUCAGGGCACAGGGCCAGCCAAGAUGAGAGGCCACAGAGAAGAAAUGAGGAAAAAAAUCCUGGGGAAAUGCAUCAAAACAACACUGAGAACACAACACUGGCUAUAUACUAAGGAUUGGCGAGAAAGUGAAAUAGCCCCGUUCAAGGUCAGAGCAGUGAGGACAUUCUCAAGUUAACUGAAAUCAAUUCUCCUUUCCUUUCAGCCUGGCAGCUGAAUCUGGUGGGUGCCUAGGAAGCUGGAACACUAAGAGACAGCCCUGGCAGCUGCAUGAGCAAAAGGACUUAAGCACGAGAGGCAGCAUCUCAAGUAACCCUGAGAGACCUUCUUUGAGGAUGGGGGACAGUGGGGAGAGCCAGUUUCAUACAAAUUUUGCAACAAAGAGGAGAUCCUGGCCAGAGAGGUAGGAGAGCAUGGAAAUCUACUUGUUUUGUGGCCAUUCAAGGUAA